UGGGGGAUAUUGCACAAUGGGGGGAACCCUGAUGCAGCGACGCCGCGUGAGCGAAGAAGUAUUUCGGUAUGUAAAGCUCUAUCAGCAGGGAAGAAAAUGACGGUACCUGAGUAAGAAGCUCCGGCUAAAUACGUGCCAGCAGCCGCGGUAAUACGUAUGGAGCAAGCGUUAUCCGGAUUUACUGGGUGUAAAGGGAGCGUAGGCGGUGCGGCAAGUCAGGAGUGAAAGGCGGGGGCCCAACCCCCGGACUGCUCUUGAAACUGCCGGACUGGAUUGCAGGAGAGGCAGGCGGAAUUCCUAGUGUAGCGGUGAAAUGCGUAGAUAUUAGGAGGAACACCGGUGGCGAAGGCGGCCUGCUGGACUGUAACUGACACUGAGGCUCGAAAGCGUGGGGAGCAAACAGG
rnacentral:rRNA from 1 species